GAGUGGCUCCUGGCCCCAAUGGGGUGCCCUGUUUGGUCUUAUAUAGUGAUACCAGAUCAAGUCUCUGUGCCCCAGGAUCUAACAGGAUAGUCUCAUUGAUCCUUACAAGGAGGAUCUGUCUUAUUUGUGAGAGCUGGACCAUAAAGAAGGCAGAGCACUGAAGAACUGAUGCUUUCCAACUGUGGUGCUGAAGAAGACUCUUAGUCCCUUGGACAGCAAGGAUUGACACCAGUCAAUCUUAAAGGAAAUAAACCCUAAACACUCAUUGGAAGGACUGAGGCUGCAGCCACAGCUACAAUCCUUUGGCCACAUGAUGUGAAGAGCAGACUUAUUGGAAAAGACCCUGAGGUUGGGAAAGAUUGAAGGCUGAAGGCAGAGGAUGAAGUGGUUGGAUGGCAUCACUGAUUCAAUGGACAUGAACUUGGGCAAAUUCUGGAAGAUGGUGAGGGAUAGGGAAGCCUGGCAUGCUGUAGUC
ensembl:lncRNA